GGGUGCCUAUGGUGGUGCUGGAGGAUAUGGCAGUUAUGGUGGAGCUGGAGCAGGAGGUGCUGGUGGGCGGGGUUCCAGCAGGUACCAUCCAUAUGGGAAAUGAGUGAACUCAUGAGAGUUUUUUCUAGGAUACAAUAAGUGCACCUCCUGGAAAAUCAGCGUUUUAUCUUGGGUUACUCAAUCAGCGGCACCAGAACAUUUAUUUAGUUUCAUCAAAUUAUCUCGUAAC
rnacentral:misc_RNA from 1 species